CGCGGGGUAGAGCAGUGGUAGCUCGCCUAGUUCAUAACUAGGAGGUCGUUGGUUCAAAUCCAACCCCCGCUACCA
rnacentral:tRNA from 1 species